rnacentral:rRNA from 1 species
UACGUAGGGUGCAAGCGUUGUCCGGAAUUAUUGGGCGUAAAGAGCUCGUAGGCGGUCUGUUGCGUCGGCUGUGAAAACCCGGGGCUCAACUCCGGGCCUGCAGCCGAUACGGGCAGACUAGAGUUCGGCAGGGGAGACUGGAAUUCCUGGUGUAGCGGUGGAAUGCGCAGAUAUCAGGAGGAACACCGGUGGCGAAGGCGGGUCUCUGGGCAGUAACUGACGCUGAGGAGCGAAAAGCGUGGGGGAGCGAACAGG